UGAGGGACCGGAAACGACUGUGUUCCAUGCUGAGGGUGGCAGAGGCUGGCCUGGAUGCUGGAUGAGGCUCAACUCGGGGGCCUGGGCUGUUGCACUGGGGCUGGACUGGGGAUCACGGAAGAGGGCCAGGCCCGCGUGGGUCUCCAGGGCUGUGCUCAGGGGCGUGGUCUUCUGCAGUGGGGGCUUGGCUGGUGAGUGGAGACUCUGCGUGACUCUGGAGGCGUGGCCGAGAAUGGGUGUAGCUAUGUACUAGGGCGUGGUCAUUGCGUAGGGGUUUGGGUGAAGCGUUAACAGUGGGUGGGCGUGGCUCGGGCUCGAGGGCGUGACCAGCACGCGGGGGCGUGGCUCAGGCUCGUGGAGGCGUCCGAGCUCCAAGGCAGCUCUGGGGCAGAACUGUCCGGAUCUAACAAUCCCUGGGGAGCCGGAGACCGGUGACCGCCGCUCUGCCCGCAGGCCAUGUGGCCCCCGCUGUUGCUGCUGCUGCUGCUGCUCCCGGCCGCCCCGGUCCCCCCCGCCAAAGCCGCUCCCCUCCCGGAUGCUAACACCCAGGAAGGCCUUCAGAACCUGCUCCAAGGAGUCGAGGCUGGCGGAGACGGAGAGCUGCAGGCAGACUCACACCUGGCCCCGGGCUCUGGCUGUAUUGAUGGGGCUGUGGUGGCCACGCGACCAGAAAGCCGGGGAGGAAGACCUGCGGCUCCGUGAGAGGCGUCCAGGGUUGCAGGCCUCGGCGACAGGCUCCGGGGAACAUGGGGCUUUCCCUGUCCACUCCCAAGGAGUGUGGGCCUCAACGCAUUGGCAGGGGAUGGCCGUGUGCCCUCUCCAGACCCCACUCCCAGAUGCAUUUAUUAGAAAUAAUAAAGUUCUUUCUUAGCUAGCGGUGCUGUUUCCUUUUGGGAUGGGCCCGUGCCUG
rnacentral:lncRNA from 1 species